UUUUUUUUUUUUGUUUUAUGUGCAUUGGUUUUUGCCUGAAUGUGUGUCUAAAUGUGGGCAUUAGAUCCUCUGGAACUGGAGCUGCCCACAGUUGUGAACUACUAGAUUAUCACUUUUUUAAACUUAGGUUUAUUCUCUUUAACAGGGGAGGUAGACAUGUAGCGGUAAAAAUAGUUAAAAAUGUGGAUAGAUACUGUGAAGCUGCUCAAUCGGAAAUACAAGUUUUGGAACACUUAAAUGCAACAGACCCCCAUAGUACUUUCCGUUGUGUCCAGAUGUUGGAAUGGUUUGAGCACCGAGGUCACAUUUGCAUUGUGUUUGAACUUCUGGGGCUUAGUACUUACGAUUUCAUUAAGGAAAACAGCUUUCUGCCGUUUCGAAUGGAUCAUAUCAGGAAGAUGGCAUAUCAAAUAUGCAAAUCUGUAAACUGUAAGUUCUUGACAUUCCUUCUAAAAUGUGAGUUUGAGACUAAUGUCAAACUAAUUUGGAUCUUUAAAAGGAAGAAUCUGGGGGAACUAGGAACUCUAGGUCAGUGAGAGAAAUGAGGCCUUUUUCUUUGUCCCCAUCACUACAGAAGACUACAAAAUGAGAUUUAAAGCUCUGGCCUGGCCUGAGAGUAUACAGACAACUCGGGGGAUUGGAUGCUGAUUAAAAGAUAGCAACCUUAUUAAGAAUAGUGUAAAAGGGGCUGGAGAGAUGGCUCAGUGGUUAAGAGCACUGGCUGCUCUUCCAGAGGUCCUGAGUUCAAUUCCCAGCAAUCACAUGGUGACUCACAAACCAUCUGUAAUGAGAUCUGAUGCCCUCUUCUGGUGUGCAUGAAGACAGCAACAGUGUACUCACAUAUAAUAAGUAAAUAAAAAAAAAAAUGUUAUAAAAGGCCAGGCAGUGGUAGGGCAUAUCUUUAACGCGUGGAUCUCUUAAGUUCAAGGCCAGCCGGGGCUACACAAAAACCUGUUUUGAAGAAGAAGGAAAAAA
rnacentral:lncRNA from 1 species